rnacentral:lncRNA from 1 species
CACCUUGUCUCCAAGCUGCUGCUUCAACCAGUCGCACAGCAGGGUGUACUCCUGCUUGUUCUCUCUGUCCUUCACCUCAUCCUCAUCACCUGGUUUGAGAUCUCAAAUCACUGUAAGUGGGGAGAAGAGAGAGAGAGAGAGAGAGAGAGAGAGAGAGAGAGAGAGCGCAGAUAAACUCACCCAAUUCAAGGUCUUCUUUGCUGAUAUCAACAAAUUUCUUCUCUUUGUAGGUCUGCAGGUUCUGGAUUGCGACCUCGUCGAUAGGCUCGACCAGGUAGAGGACCUGGGGGAAGCAACAAGAAAGAGGAUUCAGACUAUGUGGGCAUGAGAGAAGAGUUACAAAGGGCCG